CUGCUGCCUUCCGUAGGAGUUUGGACCAUGUCUCAGUUCCAAUGUGGGGGACCUUCCUCUCAGAACCCCUACGCAUCGUCGGCUUGGUGGGCCGUUGCCCCACCAACUACCUAAUGCGCCGCAUGCCCAUCCGUGACCGGGGUCGCCCCCUUUGGCCGGCAGGGGAUGUCCCCUCCCGGCAUUAUGUUGUAUUAGGCGGGAUUUCUCCCGGUUAUCCAUCUGUCACGGCCAGGUUGCAUACGUGUUACUCACCCGUGCGCCGGUCGCCGG
rnacentral:rRNA from 1 species